rnacentral:rRNA from 1 species
UACGGGGGGAGCAAGCGUUGUUCGGAUUUACUGGGCGUAAAGGGCGCGUAGGCGGCGCAACAAGUCACUUGUGAAAUCUCCGGGCUUAACCCGGAGCGGUCAAGUGAUACUGUCGUGCUAGAGUGCGGAAGGGGCUACUGGAAUUCUCGGUGUAGCGGUGAAAUGCGUAGAUAUCGCUUGGAACGCCAAUGGUGAAAACGAGGUAGCUGGGGGUGUGCUGACACUGGAGACACGAAAGCCAGGGGAG